UGGGGAAUCUUGCACAAUGGGCGAAAGCCUGAUGCAGCCAUGCCGCGUGAAUGAUGAAGGCCUUAGGGUUGUAAAAUUCUUUCGUCAGGGAUGAUAAUGACAGUACCUGAAGAAGAAGCCCCGGCUAACUUCGUGCCAGCAGCCGCGGUAAUACGAAGGGGGCUAGCGUUGUUCGGAAUUACUGGGCGUAGAGCGCACGUAGGCGGACUUUUAAGUCAGGUGUGAAAUCCCGGGGCUCAACCUCGGAACUGCAUUUGAAACUGGAAGUCUUGAGACCAGGAGAGGUUAGCGGAAUACCGAGUGUAGAGGUGAAAUUCGUAGAUAUUCGGUGGAACACCAGUGGCGAAGGCGGCUAACUGGACUGGUACUGACGCUGAGGUGCGAAAGUGUGGGGAGCAAACAGGAUUAGAUACCCGCGUAGUCC
rnacentral:rRNA from 1 species